UUGGAGGGCAAGUCUGGUGCCAGCAGCCGCGGUAAUUCCAGCUCCAAUAGCGUAUAUUAAAGUUGUUGCAGUUAAAAAGCUCGUAGUUGAAUUUCGGGAUUAGUACGUUGGUCGUGCCUUAGGUACGUACUGGUGUUACUGGUUUCUACCUUCUGACGAACCAUCAUGUCAUUAAUUUGGUGUGGUGGGGAAUCAGGACUGUUGCUUUGAAAAAAUUAGAGUGUUUAAAGCAGGCUCGCGCUUGAAUACAUUAGCAUGGAAUAAUGAAAUAGGACGUUGAUCCUAUUUUGUUGGCUUCUAGAAUUGACGUAAUGAUUAAUAGGGAUAGUUGGGGGCAUUAGUAUUCAAUUGUCAGAGGUGAAAUUCUUGGAUUUAUUGAAGACUAACUACUGCGAAAGCAUUUGCCAAGGAUGUUUUCAUUAAUCAAGAACGAAAGUUAGGGGAUCGAAGACGAUCAGAUACCGUCGUAGUCUUAACCAUAAACUAUGCCGACUAGGGAUCGGAUGAUAUUAAUUUUUUAAUGACUCAUUCGGCGCCUUACGGGAAAC
rnacentral:rRNA from 1 species